rnacentral:rRNA from 1 species
UACGUAGGGGGCAAGCGUUGUCCGGAAUCAUUGGGCGUAAAGAGCGCGUAGGCGGUCCGGUAAGUCCGCUCUGAAAGUCCGGGGCUCAACCCCGGGAGGCGGGCGGAUACUGUCGGGCUAGAGUCCGGAAAAGGCGAGUGGAAUUCCUGGUGUAGCGGUGAAAUGCGUAGAUAUCGAGAGGAACACCUGCGGCGAACGCGGGUUGCUGGGCUGAUACUGACGCUGAGGCGCGAAAGCCAGGGGAGCGAACGGG